UCCCAGGUGGUCUAACGGUUACGAUACGCAGAUUUCCUCCUGCGUGAUCAAGGUUCAAUUCCUUGUCUGGGCA